UUCAAACUCUUAAGAGUUUUAUGAUUUUGCAAAAUCAUGUCUGCAGAUGUUAUCUCUUUAGUUGCAGUUGCAUCAUUAAACUAUACCACUGAAUUUACUUAGAAAAUAUGUAGACCACUCUCUGAAAUGCAAGAUAGAUGAACUCGGUCAAAACUUAAAAGAUUGGACGCUAACAUGAUCUGACAUCCUCAGCGGUACCAAUUUAAUCGAUAAAUUGAUGAGGCCACCAAUACAUUUACACCUUCAACUGAUGCAAUAUUACGUUCACUUGUGUGAGAGAUGUCAAUAGUUAAGUACAGCGACUUCCAAAGGCUGUUGAUAUUUGUAAAAUCCGAAGAACUAAACCUAAUAGAAGAAGAAACUUCACUUUGAAAAUAAGGAUCUAAUAUGGUAGGGAAGAUAUAAUAUUUUGACAAAUUAAAACAAAGCAAUCACAUAAUUAGUAGUUCACGCAAAAGUUAAUGAGGAGUUCACGCAUAACACGACUUUAGGAACAGCUAGGACCAAUUUUAAUGCAAGAGAACAUUUCAUACUUCAUGAAUCAGUGACCUAAAUUUUUCUCGAGUACUCAAUCUAUGCAUAAGAUACUACAAAUAAGAGCACAGUUCAAACCAAAUGCAGGGCAACAACGUGCAUUCUAUUCCACAAAUUAAUUCCUAAAAAUGAAAAUCUGUCAUAAAAUCAGAACGGUGUUUGAUCUCAUCGUCCUAAAUCUAACAGACACCAUCAAUCUCAAAGAAAUAAUAAACCACAUGAUUGACAUUCUCUCUUUCGAAAUAGCUAAUUCAUUUAAAUUCUUAUACUAAAAAAUAUAGUGAAAAGAUGUUUACAAAGCAUAUACAUAACACAUAUUAUAAGACAUUGAUACUAAGUAUCAUCUGCUGUAGUCAAUCUGGUAAAAACUUGACAAAACUCAGUAUCUACAUGCAUUUAAUCAUAGACAAGCUGGGGCAGUCUCCAUCUUCAUUACAUUUUUACUACUGUUUGACCAUUGGGAAUAUUGGAGAAGGUUUGCUGGCAUGAAAAACCUCUAACCAUACAAACAGUCUCUUCUUUAUUGAAAAGCUUUGGAAAAAAAAAAGUGAAGAAUAUUUUAUCCCAAUUACAAUUGGAAUGAUCAGCUUUAUCUUUUUCAUGUUUUUUUUUU